rnacentral:lncRNA from 1 species
UAUCAUUUAUCGUAAAAAAUAUAAAGAUUGCAAAAGUUGUCCUACAUGUGGAGUUUCAAGGUGGUUGAACGAAGCUGAUGAUGAUGAAAAAAGGAAACGGAUUCCCGCAAAAUGUUUGAGACAUUUUCCGUUGAUACCACGACUUAAAAGAUUGUUUUUGUGUAAAGAUAUUUCAACAGGAAUGACUUGGCAUAAAAAUGAUCGGAAAAAAGAUGGAAUUCUUCGUCAUCCGGCAGACUCAUUGCAAUGGACACAAUUUGAUGAUCGAUAUCCCGAUUUUGCAUCUGAACCACGUAAUAUCAGAUUGGGACUUGCAAGCGAUGGAUUUAAUCCAUUUAGUAUGAUGUCAGUUUCUCAUAGCACGUGGCCAGUCGUUCUUAUGCCUUAUAAUCUUCCUCCGUGGAUGUGUAUGAAACAACCCAAUUUUAUUUUGAGUCUUCUUAUUUCCGGGCCUACCUCACCUGGAAAUGAUAUAGAUGUCUACUUAGAACCACUAAUUGAUGAGUUAAAAAUUUUAUGGACCACUGGUGUCACUACAUAUGACGUGGUUACUCAGAGUAGCUUUCAAAUGCAUGCUGCAGUGAUGUGGACAAUUAAUGAUUAUCCUGGAUAUGGUGAUCUUUCUGGUUGGAGCACGAAAGGAAAAUUGGCAUGUGCAGUAUGUUCUGAAAAAACGAGUAGUGUUAGAUUGAAAUAUGGGAAGAAAGAGACUUUUCUUGGACACCGUCGUUUCUUGGAAAAAGACCAUCCGUAUAGACGUAAUAAAAAAGAUUUCAAUAACAAAAUCGAAAACGAAGAAGCGCCUAAACGACCCUUGGGAGAGGAGGUAUUUCUGAAUUUGAAUUUUUUUAGAAAUUCUAUUAUUUUUGGCAAAAACGAUGAGAGACCAUCAAAGAAGAAGAUGAAAGUCAUGUCCUUACCUCCUGGAUGGAAAAAAGUCAGUAUUUUCUUUCAAUUGCCGUAUUGGAAGACUCUGUUGAUACGUCAUAAUAUCGACGUUAUGCAUACUGAAAAAAAUGUCUGCGACAAUAUUAUGAACACUUUAUUGGGAAUGGAUGGCAAAUCGAAAGACAAUUUGAGUGCCCGUUUGGAUCUUCAAGAAAUGAAAAUUCGUUCUGAGUUACAUCCAGUAAAGAUUAAUGAUUCUGAAUGGAAGAUUCCAAAGGCGAUAUUCAAUCUCAAUAAUGAAGAAAAGACAAUUUUCUGUAAAGUGUUUCAUGAUCUGAAAUUUCCGGAUGAGUACGCAUCCAACN